GAUGAAGAACGUAGCGAAAUGCGAUAAGUAAUGUGAAUUGCAGAAUUCAGUGAAUCAUCGAAUCUUUGAACGCACAUUGCGCCCCCUGGCAUUCCGGGGGGCAUGCCUGUUCGAGCGUCAUUUCACCACUCAAGCCUCGCUUGGUAUUGGGCAACGCGGUCCGCCGCGUGCCUCAAAUCGACCGGCUGGGUCUUCUGUCCCCUAAGCGUUGUGGAAACUAUUCGCUAAAGGGUGUUCGGGAGGCUACGCCGUAAAACAACCCCAUUUCUAAGGUUGACCUCGGAUCAGGUAGGGAUACCCGCUGAACUUAAGCAUAUCAUAAGCGGAGGA
rnacentral:misc_RNA from 1 species